AGCUCAUGACAAGAGCACAAUCUUAACAUCUCCUUGAAACGCUCCCAAGCUUCAUAGAACGAUUCUUUAUCUUGUUUAGAAAAAUUGGUGAUUUGAUUUCUCAAUU
rfam:Cicer arietinum chromosome Ca7, whole genome shotgun sequence.